rnacentral:rRNA from 1 species
CACGUAGGGGGCAAGCGUUGUCCGGAAUUAUUGGGCGUAAAGAGCUCGUAGGCGGCUUGUCACGUCGAUUGUGAAAGCCCGAGGCUUAACCUCGGGUCUGCAGUCGAUACGGGCUAGCUAGAGUGUGGUAGGGGAGAUCGGAAUUCCUGGUGUAGCGGUGAAAUGCGCAGAUAUCAGGAGGAACACCAAUGGCGAAGGCAGCACUCUGGGACGUGACUGACGCUGAGACGCGAAAGCGUGGGGAGCAAACAGG